GAGUUCGGGAUUAGUAGAUACAAACUAUUCUCCUACAGUGGUCCUACUUUAUAGCAUAGGAACUAAAAUAAAGUUAGUAUCCUGGGGUAAAGCCUCAUGGAAAAGAACAUAAAAAAAUAUAUAUGUAGGUAUAACGGAGUCACUUAGCUGUACUGUAGAAAUUAACACAACAUUCUAAAUCAACUACACUUCAAUAACAAAAAUAAAUUUAAAAAAUAUUUCUGAGGCAGCAUAGAAAACCUGGAAUAUAGACCAGAUAUUAAAUGACCGUGGGCAAGAAUUAUCAGUUUUGUUUGUUGUAAUAAUGGCAGAAUAGUUAAAUAAAAAAGAAAAAAAAAUGUUUAUUGGUUAUGGGCUCAUACUGAAGUGUUUAGGAUAAAAGUAGAUGAUAGUUUGGAUUUUUCUAGAAACAUUCCAAUAUAGGAAAAGAAAGAAAAAGAAGGGAAUAAAGAGAUGAAACAGGAUUGGAAAAUAUGGGCAUCCUUCAAGAUGAUUAAAGAAACUCAUGUGAACCCAUUAUGCCAGUCUUUCUAAUCUUGCAUGUGUGUUCAUUCACUCAGUCGUGUCUGACACUUCGUGAUCCCAUGGACUGUAUAGCCCACCAGGCUCCUCUGUCCAUGGAAUUUUCCAGGCGAGAAUACUGGAGUGGGUUGCCAUUUCUACUCCAGGAGAUCUUCCUGGCCCAGGGAUUAAACUCAAGUCUCCUGCAUUGACAGGCGUUCUUACCACUGAGCCACCUGGGAAGCCCUCUUUCUAAGCUUAUGUGUUUUCAGUGUUUUCCAUAAUAAAAGUUCCAGUAGGAUCAUUGAGAUGUUGCUUCUUGCAAAUGUUAGAUCCUAGAAUACAAGUUCAAGACACCAAAAGUGUGCCCUAUAUGCUAGAGACUGCAAGGAGUCACGGAGAGAGAUGUUUGGGCUUUUCUGAGACGGGAUUUCAAGCAUGUUAAGGCAAACCAUCUGAUGAUGGAGCGGGCCACCGAGGUGCAUUCCAUUCUCAUUACAGCAGAGGUUUUAUGGAGCCGGGUUUCUCAGCGUGGUGUCUGGCAUGCUGCGAAAGGAGUAGCCGUGCGCUCUUUCCUGUGGGGUCUUGAAACCGGUGGUCGGGAAACCAAGCAGCACACUCGGAGAGGUGGAGAGCUCAGGUUAAUCACGUGGGAAACCAAGCAGCACACUCGGAGAGGUGGAGAACUCAGGUUAAUCACGCGGGCAGGCCCAGAUGUGUCAACACUCCAAGCUCUGAGGCCCAAACAAAGAAGUUACAGGGUUUUUAUAGACAGACGAUAGUGGGCAGCACUAGCUGCUAUAUGCUGGUUUAAACUAAGAAGUUUCGCGAGCCGGAACAGCAAUCUUGACGGGGAGGGGAAUGCCUGAGCUUUACAUGAACAGGCAUGAUUAAGCAGGUUUGCAGGGGCCGGGCGAUUGCAGGACGAGGGUGAGUGAGAUAAGCUCCAAUUCCUAGCAUUGUAAGUCCCCACUUUCUGAGACUUCCUGACCUACGUGAUCCAGAAUUUGUAAGGAGUAAGCUGAGCUACAGAGGCAGGACAAGCAGGAGGUUAUGUAAAAAUUUUCACUUUUCCUCUUCAAUAUUGCUCCUUGUUGAGCGUCUUUGACAGGCUCCAUCUCUGCAGCUGUAACAAGGAGGUCUGACUGCACCAUAACUCACAUACUAAUAACAAAAGCCCGCGUGGCUCGCUGGGGAUUUACUGUUUUCCAGUUCCUGUCAUACAGCUGACAAGGAAUGUCUUAUUUUAUGAUCCUGAAACUGGGCAGGACCCUAAGGGGCCUUCCCGGGACAGACCCUCCCCCGACACCCUCUGCUGUGGCUCUUCUCUG
ensembl:lncRNA